CUGGUCAGCAUUGUUUGAAGGUUAGCGGUUGGGUCUGUGGUAUUACUAUUACUGAAGACUGCAUGAAGUUGUAACAAUUAGUGGUUUUCAAGCCAAAGGUGGUUACUGCUUGGGUAUUUGAAUGCUAGAUGCACCUCAUUCUUUCAACACCUGGAGGUCACUAAUAGUCAAGGAAACAGCUGAUAAGGAUGGUAGAACAUUACAUUGCCAGUACUUGUGAGGUGCAAAUGCCAUAGGCCAUAAGGUCUCUUAUCUUUUACAGAAUAAACAUAAAAAUAUGUGUUUAGGACUACACAGUUAGUUGUCGUGUCCAUGAGCUUCUAACAAGAUUAUCGGUUGCCUCAACUAUCAAAAUGAACAUCUAAAUUGAUUUUCCUCACAUUUGCCAACGGACCGUUUCAAGUAACAAGAAUUAAAGUUGCUAUCUAAGUAGUUAAUGCUGAGCGAGGACUCCUUGUCAAGCCAGACACUUCCACAGGAAAAUUGGAUUUGAGAAACCAUGGAGAAACAGCAAUUGGAACUGACAAUUGUCCUGUAAAACAUGUGUUGGAUUUAUUUAAGGAACUUGCUUCUGAAAUUUAUGUGACAACAAAACAGUGACAUUUCAAAAAGUAUCUAUGUUGAUGGCUCAUCCCUGGUGGUGUGUGAUUAUAUAUCCUUGCUGAAUAUGUAUUCAAUUGUAUAAAACUAUUUCAAAAUUACAUAUCAGUACAUCUUUCUUCAAUUGCUUAAUAUGGAGUGUGUUCUUUAGACUCUCCAAUACACAGUAGGAUAUAAUUUACUUUUCAUCUCUGAUGCAUUCUUAAUUUAUAAUGGUUAGGUAAUCUUUUAUUCCAAAUUUAUAUUCUGUAUGCUACUGUGACAGUUAGAAUCACCUCCAAGCUUUCAAAAUUCAAUGUAAUUAUGCCUCAACAUAAAAAUCAGACAAUUGGUUACUAUAUAUUAACUACAACUAACUUAAAUUAACUAACUUACUUAAACUAAUUUAAAAAACUUAAUUUACUUGAACUAACUUUAUCUUAAUUUAAUUUUAACUUAUGGUAAAAUAAACAAACUUUAGGCCUUUACUUAACUAACUUUAGCAGCAUUAUUUAACUUGUUUGAAACUAACUUUGCUUUAACCAACAUUGCCCAUAACUAAAAUGAAUCUUAUUUUUUAAAUUGUGCCUAAUAUUUAUAUUAUUAUUUAAUUUUGUUUAACUAAAUUUUUUACCUAAUUUUUAACUAAUUUCCCUUAGUAAAAUUAACUAGCUUUACUUAACUUCAAUUUACUUUACAUGACUUCAGUUAACUUUAACAACACUUUAACUAAAUUUACUUACGGUAAAUUAAAUUUCUAACUAAAUAUAACUUUAAACAAUUUUACAUAAAUUUAACAAACUUUACCUAACUUCAGUUGCUCCGACUUCCCUUUGAUUGUCAGCUAAUUGUAGUUCAUGGACACAAUUCUGAUCAUCCAUACAUUUAUGAUAUUUUUUGGUAAUGUCUUUCCUUGCAUUGUUUAUUGAUAUUGUGUAAUAAUUUAUAUAUUGAAAGUGUAAAUGAAGAUAAGGCCCCAAAACAAACUGUAUUAAAUAAUCA